UCUACGGGAGGCAGCAGUAGGGAAUCUUCCGCAAUGGACGAAAGUCUGACGGAGCAACGCCGCGUGAGUGAUGAGGGUUUUCGGAUCGUAAAGCUCUGUUGUUAGGGAAGAACAAGUGCAAGAGUAACUGCUUGCACCUUGACGGUACCUAACCAGAAAGCCACGGCUAACUACGUGCCAGCAGCCGCGGUAAUACGUAGGUGGCAAGCGUUGUCCGGAAUUAUUGGGCGUAAAGGGCUCGCAGGCGGUUUCUUAAGUCUGAUGUGAAAGCCCCCGGCUCAACCGGGGAGGGUCAUUGGAAACUGGGAAACUUGAGUGCAGAAGAGGAGAGUGGAAUUCCACGUGUAGCGGUGAAAUGCGUAGAGAUGUGGAGGAACACCAGUGGCGAAGGCGACUCUCUGGUCUGUAACUGACGCUGAGGAGCGAAAGCGUGGGGAGCGAACAGGAUUAGAUACCCUGGUAGUCCACGCCGUAAACGAUGAGUGCUAAGUGUUAUGGGGUUUCCGCCCCUUAGUGCUGCAGCUAACGCAUUAAGCACUCCGCCUGGGGAGUACGGUCGCAAGACUGAAACUCAAAGGAAUUGACGGA
rnacentral:rRNA from 1 species